AUAUCAUCAUACUUAAUUAUGUCUUAUAGCAGUAAUAUGUCACGCAGUCACAUCGCGAUCAUCUAUCACACGCGAUCACACGUGUUCACGUGAUAUGAUCACGCACAUGGAGGGAGGAAACUGUGGAGGAUGAGCAUGGGGAGAGGAGGAGACGGGGGGAGCAGGUGACUGAUGAAGAGGAUGACAUUGAAGAGUCCCCUCCCAGAAGAAGACAGUGUGUGGAGCAUGAGGAUGCUGACGAUGAGCCAAUUGAUUUCGCUAGUUUGGAGAGGAACUCGUCCCCUUUGUGGCGCUUAUCCCCUACUUUGGUGUUCGUUCCAUCUGCAGAUGCUCCCUCCAGCAGUGAGCAUUUCUGGUGGAUGAUGAUGAUGAGGGAGCAGAUGAACGAUGAAGAGGACAGUGAUGAAGAGGCCCCUCCUAGAAGAAGGCAGCAUGUGGAGCAGGAAGAUGACGACUAUGAGGUGUCUGAGCUCAGUAAUUCGGAGAGUAGCUCACCCCCUUUGUGGAGCUUAUUCCCAGCUUUGGAGUGUAUCCACAACAUGCAAGAGCACUCCAGCAGUGAGCAUUUCUGUGGGAGGAGGAGACGGAGGGAGCAGAUGACUGAAGAAGAUGACAGUGAUGAAGAGGCCCCUCCCAAAAGAAGACUGCGUGCGGAACGAGAGUAUGAUGAAGAUUGAGGUGUCUGAGCACACUUAUUUGGAGAGGAGCUCAUAGUAAGCCAUAACAUUAAAACCACUGACAGUUGAAGUGAAUAACAUUGAUUAUCUUAUUACAGUGGCAACUGUCAAGGGGUUCACUGAUGCUCACAUGCCCAUUGUAGGCAUUUUCGGUAGGUGACAGGGGUCAGCAUGGACACGCUGACCGGUCUGCGGCUAUAUAGCUCUUCUGUGAAUUUGGACCGGACGGCCUAGCCUUCGCUCCACAAGCAUCCGUGAGCCUUGUCGAUGGUUCACUAAUUGUCUUUCCAUGGACCACUUAACCACUGCAUAACAGGAGCACCUGAGAAGACCUGCCAUUUUGGAGAUGCUCUGACCCAAUCGUCUAGCCAUUACAAGUUGGCCCUUUUCCUGCUUCCAACACAUCAACUUGCUGUCUAAUAUAUCCCAAUGAAUAUCUCAUUACAAAGUCAAACCACUGUAAUGAGAUAUUCAAUGUCCGUCCUGUCCCGUCCCGUCAACCAGUCUGUAUGUUUGUAUACACCUGAUUUCAAAUCCCAAUUGUAAAAUAUAAAAUCUGUAAUGUCAAAAUCUACAUCAUCAAUUGCUACAUAGGCUAAAGACUUAGCUCAUACCUGUGUUAAAUGCAUAGGCUUUGUACAGU
ensembl:lncRNA